rnacentral:rRNA from 1 species
UACGCAGGGGGCUAGCGUUGCUCGGAAUCACUGGGCGUAAAGGGUGCGUAGGCGGGUCUUUAAGUCAGGGGGGAAAUCCUGGAGCUCAACUCCAGAACUGCCUUUGAUACUGAGGAUCUUGAGUCCGGGAGAGGUGAGUGGAACUGCGAGUGUAGAGGUGAAAUUCGUAGAUAUUCGCAAGAACACCAGUGGCGAAGGCGACUCACUGGCCCGGUACUGACGCUGAGGCACGAAAGCGUGGGGAGCAAACAGG